GCCUGGCUGGCUCAGUUGGAGAGCAUGUGACUCCUGAUCUCAGGGUCAUGAGUUCUAGCCCCACGUUGGGUG
rnacentral:tRNA from 1 species